rnacentral:tRNA from 1 species
UCCGGAAUGGUGUAAUGGUCAGCAUUUCUGCCUCUCAAUUGUCUAAUAACAGUAGCGUCCGCAGGAGAUCGGGGUUCAAUUCCCCGUUCCGGAA